CAGUACUUCAAGUAUUAUAUUUAAUAAUAUUUAUUAAAUAUUUAUCUUGAAGUGUAAGGAAGUAAGGCCAGCAAAAAACCAAGAGCUGCUCCUCCCUCCUCCACAUGGAUCCAGUGAGAGCCCUGUAGGCAGAAACUCAAAAUUCCCUCCAGGUAAGGAGAGGAACAAACAGGACAAGGAAAAGGGGAUUGUGGGAAAUAGAGUCUUUAGGGUUCAAGAUUCUAAAUCAAUCCACUAGGGAGUAGAAUGGCUAGAGACCUGGUCUGGAGUUAGGAAGAUUCAUUUCCCUGUUUUAUUCUGGCCUCAGAGAAGCCACAACACAAUUUACUUCAGUAUCUUCAUCGGUAAAAUGAGCUAAAGAAGGAAAUGGCAAACCACUUCAGUAUGCCUUCCGAGAAAAUCCUGAAUGGGGUCACAAAGAGUUGGACACAACUAAAAUGACUUUAGAACAGUAUGAGGGGAUACUGUAGGGUUUGAUAUGUGACUGUCCCUUACUCACUUCUUAAACCAGAUAAAGAGAGGUAUUAUGAUGGCAGGAGAAAGAACCCAACUUGGAGUAAGGAAAUUGGUGUUCAUGUCUCAGCCAUCUAGGGAGCUCUGGGGAGAAGUAAUAAAUGCACUGCAUGAAGGAGUUACCAUGGAGAAGCUAUUCCAGCCAAAGAAGAAGUCACUAGAGAAAAAGCUGCAUACAACUUGUCAGCAAAUCUGGUGAGGCUGACCCAGAGCAAUCAUUAUUCCUAUGGCUUCUAAUUUGAAUACACCAGUCUUUCCAUUUUAGGUCUAGUAAGUCCCCACCUUCAAUUCAAUUGAGUCCAAUUCCGUUUAAAGUAGUCUAAUUCAAUAGUAACUGUCUACUCUGCUUAGUAUUAUAGAAGCAAUGAUGGUAGCCUCUGAGUGAAAAGAAAUGAAUUUAAUACCAUCACUGCCCUCAUGGAGCUUCUAGUCUAGUAGAAGGAUGUGGCACAUGUAGAAAUAAUCCCAACAAUAGUCAUAGAAAGUGGCAAUACAAGGUUCAAAUGAUCUGAUAGUGUAAAGUGCUUUGACCUUAACACACUUGAUAAAUACUAAUUUUCCUGAUGAUUAUGUAAAUGGGUAGAACAAUCCCUCCUCAAAUUAAAUGUAGGAAGUUCUAAUGAGCAAAUUUAGCUCCAAAGAAGAAAUAUUACAUUGCAACUACCUUCCUUCUUCGCCAGUAUGGAAGACUAUAGGUGUGUAAUAUGGAGUACUCAUGUUUGAUUGAUGUGUUGGUUAAUUUUGUCCAAAUUCUGCUUCUUCUGUUCUAUGUUAUAAGAGAUGGCUCUUAGGUGGAUAGGAAGGAUAUAUUGGAAAGUGGGUUUCCAAAAGAUUUGGAAAACAUUUAAAAUUUUUAAAAUAUGGACAUAAGUCCAUGAGAAGUAGGAAAAGGGGUUUUAGAAUCAAUCUUUUCUUUUAUAUUUUUAUUAGGAAAUUAGGAAAAGCUUUCUGGAAUGGCCCUUUAUUAAAACUGUUAUUUGGCAUAUUUUAGAAAAGCUACUGAUAGCAACAAGAAGAAAUGGAAGGCUGAAACAUAGCUAAACAAGAGGCAAAAUAAUGAUUAUUUGAUGUCAACAUGAUGGGUCACUUAAAAAGCUUAGGGAAGACUUCCUGGAGGAGGAAACAUUUAAGUGGGCUUCAAAAUUGGCAGAAAUUACCCAACCAAAGUACAAGAGAGCUGUUUAUGAUAUAAAGAGAAG
ensembl:lncRNA